AUCAGAAUUUUCCCAAUGCAAAAAAAGGCUCUGAAGAGCCAGAUCUGGGAACCUGGCCAGUUCCCUGAUCCAAUUUUUGGUAAACACCUCAAGGAUGUUAGUUACAUGAUGAAGACGUGGACAGUGUCCUGACUUGACCCUUCUUUGUUUUAAAAAGUAUAAAAGAUUGUUUAGCAGAAGCCGAACUGAGCUUCGAUGGUGAUUUGGUUUGGACUUGCGAAAACCCGUGCUGCUUUAUUGCCGGUGUUGAAGUUUGUGAGCGUCUCUAGACGCUCACAUGCCUACUGAUUCUAUUGAACGUAUUUACAAUAAGAAGACUGAUCAAUUAACUAAAAUUAGCUUUAAUACUUACCCUGAAGAUCAUCCCAAGUGCGCAAAAUGGGUGCACGCGCAAAAUGGGUGCACGAACACACUGGACAUGCAGGAGCCAAAGCUAUGUACAGAUUUGUGUAUUUACAGGUAUUAUUGUUAGCACUCACGUCUGGAUUGCUUGGACCAUUUCCCCCGGACAAAUCUUGUCUCACCAAACUACUUCCAGCAAUGGACACAUGAUUCUACAGUUGGGAUGGGUCAACUCCACAAAAGUAAGAAGUCAAGACUCUUACAACUGUUCUGCUAAUCAAGUCUGUCACCAUACCAAUCUUACUAUUAGUGGAGAUACCAACACUACACUUACCUAUUGGAUGGGACAGAAACCUGCUCGAGGCAAAAUUUAUAGUAAUGAUAGUAUUACUAUUAAUGUCACUUCUAAAGUGAAUAUUUCCUGU